AAAUUGAAGAGUUUGAUCAUGGCUCAGAUUGAACGCUGGCGGCAGGCCUAACACAUGCAAGUCGAACGGUAACAGGAAACAGCUUGCUGUUUCGCUGACGAGUGGCGGACGGGUGAGUAAUGUCUGGGAAACUGCCUGAUGGAGGGGGAUAACUACUGGAAACGGUAGCUAAUACCGCAUAAUGUCGCAAGACUAAAGAGGGGGACCUUCGGGCCUCUUGCCAUCGGAUGUGCCCAGAUGGGAUUAGCUAGUAGGUGGGGUAACGGCUCACCUAGGCGACGAUCCCUAGCUGGUCUGAGAGGAUGACCAGCCACACUGGAACUGAGACACGGUCCAGACUCCUACGGGAGGCAGCAGUGGGGAAUAUUGCACAAU
rnacentral:rRNA from 1 species